UCGACGGCAGAUUUGAACUGGACGAGGAAGUGAAGAACUUAAGCUCUGAUCGUGUUGAAACUUUCAGCUCCGAUUCCACACCCGCAAAACGGAUUAAAAGAGCAAAGAACACACGUGUUGCUGAGGCUGUAAGACGUUUACACAAUUCUGAAAACAACGCUAUGAAGCUGGAUCCAAAACAAAGUAUCAAUUCUCCACAUAACCUUGCAGUUACGACAUACAUGUUGGA